UCAUGAACUGACAGCAUCUCUGCGGAGAGGCUCGCGGGUUGAGGAGAAGAUAUGCUGGAGCCUUUUGCUUCUGUCGGAUGUUCCUCUAGUUUGAAAGACUCAUAGGAAAGAUAUGAAGCUGGGCUCCCUCCUGGAAACACGCAAGUGGAGAUCUUCAUUGCAGGCCUCAAGGCAGCUGGAGCAGCUUUUUUAUCAGAAAGAUUUCUCGGGAUGAGAUAACAUUUCUGGAACAGAAGUCAGAAAGCACGUUCUGCAGUCUCCUUCACCAUGACUCACUCAGAACAGACACUUUCUCUGGGAUUCUACUGCUUUUCUUCAGGGCUUUGUUUAGGAACAAAUACUGCAAAAAAGGCUAUGCGCUUAUUGAAAAAUAUUUAUUACCCACUGAAAAAUAGAACCUGCAACACCAAGACUACAAACACUCUACAAGAGGAAUAACCGGAUACAUUCAGUGAAGGUGGAGCUGCAGAGGAGAGUAGUAGAGAUGAGGACCCUACCCCACUGACAGCUGAAGGCACGGAGUGGUUAUCCAAGGAGACUGAAACAACUGUAAGAGAAUCGUGAAGGAUUUCACAGUGUCCACUGCCUUAGUUUGAAGACUCCAGCUCCCUGAUUCCCCCUUCUCUCUCUUCUGUGCUUCUUAUGAUUCUCAGAGAUUAAUCCAGAAAUAACAUUGCCUUAUUGUGUGUUUUUAUGGAGUUCCCCUUUUCCUAUAAAGUUUUUAUCUACUCUACUUUUGACUUCAUUCUCUUCUGCUUCAGAAAUUCUACUCAACUUCAACUUUUCUUGUAGCACAAAGGCAACCUAAGAGCCCUUAAAGACAUCACUAAAAUUUUUAUUUCCAUGCUUUUCAAUGCCUCUGGAAAUACUUAUUGUAGUACAAGCCAUAGCUGUAAAUAACAUUUCUCUUAAUGCAAUAAUCUCCAUCUGAUAUUCCAGUAGUAUGAAUAUGCUAAAGGAAGGCUUAAAGAGAUAGAUGCUAAAUAAAUUAAAAUGAGCUAAGGGAAGACACUUUAUAACCCUAGAAAUAUUGCAAGCAUUAUUUAAAGUAGUUAAUAUUUUUA